AUGGCGGACGGAUCCAGGGACAUUAGCAGGCGGCGGAAUCCGGCGGACAAGCUCACCGAAGACCUCCUCGUCGAGAUCCUGUCGCGCGUGCCGUACAGGUCGCUGUGCCGCUUCAAGUGCGUCUCCAAGCGGUGGCGCGGCAUCAUCUCCCACCCCGACCACCGCAAGGCGCUGCCGCAGUACCAUCUCCAUGACCUCGCUGGCUUCCUCUACUCGAGCCGCGGCCCCAGCACUGGCUAUUUCUCAACUGACAAUUUCACCCAUGUCUCGGCGGGAGGCCGUGCUCCUAUCCGUCCUUCGCUCCCCUUCCUGCCUGACUGUCAUCAGUUCCACCUUCUGGACAGCUGCAACGGCCUACUCCUCUGCCGCCGCUUCAAGACCUUUGGUGCGGGGGCAUUUUAUUACGUGGUGUGCAAUCCUGCCACGGAGAAAUGGGUCGCCUUGCCCGGCAUCUUCAGCAAGAUGCAGACAGCUCGCUUGGGGUUCGACCCGGCCGUCUCCUCGCACGUCCAAAACCGGCUAGGAUAA
rnacentral:rRNA from 1 species